rnacentral:misc_RNA from 1 species
GAUGAAGAACGUAGCGAAAUGCGAUAAGUAAUGCGAAUUGCAGAAUUCAGUGAAUCAUCGAAUCUUUGAACGCACAUUGCGCCCGCCAGUAUUCUGGCGGGCAUGCCUGUUCGAGCGUCAUUUCAACCCUCAAGACCCCUUCGGGGGACUUGGUGUUGGGGACCGGCACAGGGGCCUGCCUGCUUGUCUUGCAGCGCCCUCGCCGCCCCCGAAAUGAAUUGGCGGCCUCGUCGCGGCCUCCCCUGCGUAGUAGCACAAACCUCGCAACGGGAACGUGACGGCGGCCACUGCCGUAAAACAACCCAAUUUUAUUAGAGUUGACCUCGAAUCAGGUAGGAAUACCCGCUGAACUUAAGCAUAUCAAUAAGCGGAGGA